UGGGGAAUAUUGCACAAUGGGCGCAAGCCUGAUGCAGCCAUGCCGCGUGUAUGAAGAAGGCCUUCGGGUUGUAAAGUACUUUCAGCGAGGAGGAAGGCGUUGUGGUUAAUAACCGCAGCGAUUGACGUUACUCGCAGAAGAAGCACCGGCUAACUCCGUGCCAGCAGCCGCGGUAAUACGGAGGGUGCAAGCGUUAAUCGGAAUUACUGGGUGUAAAGCGCACGCAGGCGGUAUGUCAAGUCGGAUGUGAAAUCCCCGGGCUCAACCUGGGAACUGCAUCCGAAACUGGCAGGCUAGAGUCUUGUAGAGGGGGGUAGAAUUCCAGGUGUAGCGGUGAAAUGCGUAGAGAUCUGGAGGAAUACCGGUGGCGAAGGCGGCCCCCUGGACAAAGACUGACGCUCAGGUGCGAAAGCGUGGGGAGCAAACA
rnacentral:rRNA from 1 species